rnacentral:tRNA from 1 species
GCCGGCGUGGCGGAAUUGGUAGACGCAGCGGAUUCAAAAUCCGCCGCUGGAAACAGUGUGUCGGUUCGAGUCCGACCGCCGGCA